AAGGGAGACCUAAUUCAGGUAUGGGACGAAAAAAAAGUAGUCGCUACCAAGAAUCAAUCCCAAAAGGUCGGAGCGAGGUAUGAGGCUUUCGAACUAGGUUCUGGGUUCAAACAAGACCUGAAUCAGGAACAAGGGCUAUUAGCUCAGGUGGUUAGAGCGCACCCCUGAUAAGGGUGAGGUCCCUGGUUCGAGUCCAGGAUGGCCCACCUGCACAGGUGGCAAAAACAAGAGAAGCGAGGAAUCAGCACCUUAUCUUAUCUAUAUAUAUAUAGGAGAGAAUGCUGGCUCUGAGUAAAGAGUCCAGAGGAACCUUGAAAACUGCAUAGAGCUAGGUGAAAAAGCCAAAAAAGAAGACCGCAAGGUCAAGCUAAUAAGGGCUAACGGUGGAUACCUAGGCAC
rnacentral:tRNA from 1 species